GAUGAAGAACGCAGCGAAAUGCGAUAAGUAAUGCGAAUUGCAGAAUUCCAGUGAAUCAUCGAAUCUUUGAACGCACAUUGCGCCCCCUGGUAUUCCGGGGGGCAUGCCUGUCCGAGCGUCAUUACAACCCUCAAGCUCAGCUUGGUGUUGGGCCCCGCCGCCCCGGCGGGCCCUAAAGUCAGUGGCGGUGCCGUCCGGCUCCGAGCGUAGUAAUUCUUCUCGCUCUGGAGGUCCGGUCGUGUGCUCGCCAGCAACCCCCAAUUUUUUUCAGGUUGACCUCGGAUCAGGUAGGGAUACCCGCUGAACUUAAGCAUAUCAUAAGCGGAGGA
rnacentral:misc_RNA from 1 species